UGUUUAAACAUUGGUUUCCGUUCAAUCACCGAAGCUAAACAACGUCGAGCCUGGUCAGUACCUAGAUGGGUGACCGUUUGGGAAUACCAGAUGCAGUAA